rnacentral:rRNA from 1 species
AUUGAACGCUGGCGGCAGGCUUAACACAUGCAAGUCGAGCGGGGGAAGGUAGCUUGCUACCGGACCUAGCGGCGGACGGGUGAGUAAUGCUUAGGAAUCUGCCUAUUAGUGGGGGACAACAUCUCGAAAGGGAUGCUAAUACCGCAUACGUCCUACGGGAGAAAGCAGGGGAUCUUCGGACCUUGCGCUAAUAGAUGAGCCUAAGUCGGAUUAGCUAGUUGGUGGGGUAAAGGCCUACCAAGGCGACGAUCUGUAGCGGGUCUGAGAGGAUGAGCCGCCACACUGGACUGAGAGACGGCCCAGACUCCUACGGGAGGCAGCAGUGGGGAAUAUUGGACAAUGGGGGGAACCCUGAUCCAGCCAUGCCGCGUGUGUGAAGAAGGCCUUAUGGUUGUAAAGCACUUUAAGCGAGGAGGAGGCUACUUUAGUUAAUACCUAGGGAUAGUGGACGUUACUCGCAGAAUAAGCACCGGCUAACUCUGUGCCAGCCGCCGCCGUAA